rnacentral:rRNA from 1 species
CGUUGUUCGGAAUUACUGGGCGUAAAGGGCUCGUAGGCGGCCAACUAAGUCGGACGUGAAAUCCCCAGGCUCAACCUGGGAACUGCGUCCGAUACUGGAUGGCUUGAAUUCGGGAGAGGGAUGCAGAAUUCCAGGUGUAGCGGUGAAAUGCGUAGAUAUCUGGAGGAAUACCGGUGGCAAAGGCGGCAUCCUGGACCGACAUUGACGCUGAGGAGCGAAAGCUAGGGGAGCAAACGGG